rnacentral:rRNA from 1 species
CCCUUAGAUGUUCUGGGCCGCACGCGCGCUACACUGAUUCAUGCAACAAGUUUUGUCCUUGGCUGAUAGGCCUGGGUAAUCUUUGAACGUGAAUCGUGAUGGGGAUAGAUGAUUGCAAUUAUUCAUCUUCAACGAGGAAUUCCUAGUAAACGCAAGUCAUCAGCUUGCAUUGAUUACGUCCCUGCCCUUUGUACACACCGCCCGUCGCACCUACCGAUUGAAUGGUCCGGUGAAAUCUUCGGAUCUGAGAGAUGUCUGAUUAAUUUCGGACGCCUUUUGGAAAAGUCGCUUAAACCUUAUCAUUUAGAGGAAGGUGAAGUCGUAACA